rnacentral:rRNA from 1 species
UAGGGAAUCUUCCACAAUGGACGCAAGUCUGAUGGAGCAACACCGCGUGAGUGAAGAAGGGUUUCGGCUCGUAAAGCUCUGUUGUUAAAGAAGAACACGUAUGAGAGUAACUGUUCAUACGUUGACGGUAUUUAACCAGAAAGUCACGGCUAACUACGUGCCGG